CUUACAUAAGGCGGCAUCGGCGUGACUCCAGGUGCCGGUGGGAGGCAGCGUGGGGGGAGCGCAGGGGCGAGAAGAGUCUCCAAGCUGCAUGCGGGUGUCUCUCCCUCUCCUUACAUCUCAGCGUCAUCUUGCGUCUGCCAGCUCGGUCACCCACUUGCUGGUUGGAAUACAUUAACUGGAAAUGCAGAUUUAAAUAACUCGGGCAGGUGAUGAGGCCCCCCGGCACCCGCCCAGGUGAGGCGCGGGGUCCGGGUCGGAAGGGGCGGCCUAGGCUGGGGCCCGAGCUCAGAGGCAGGUCCGGGCCAGGCGGGGGCGGGAGGGGCCGAAGGCCAGCGGCGGGCACCCAGCCACCCACCUGUCUGGGGCACCGUCGCCGUCUCAGGGGCCGCCGCAGGGGCUCUCGUGCAGGAGGGGGAAGUUAAGGAAGCCAGGGCCGGCCCUCCUGCCAGCCCUCUGUCAAAAGAAGUCGGCGCUUCGGUGUGGAGGCCAGGGAUGGGCGACGCGCAGCGGGCCCCGCGCUGCCCCAGGCCAGCGCCCGUGGUCACUCGCCCCCGAGGAGACAGGGUUCUUCAUUUACCCCCGAAACCUUGACUCUGUCUACCCCUCACUCUGCCUCUUCAGUGGCGCCAGGGGCCCUGGAAGUCACCGGAAACGUGUGUCGGGAGCAGAGAGGAGGGAGCCCGUUGUCUGGAAGCUGCACCUGGAGGACCCUCGGAACCCAAGCCUGGGUUUCCCACCAGGAGAACCCCGGAGGCCUUGCAGGAAAGUCAGAGCCCAGCUGCCUGCUGGGCACAGGCGCCUGCCGGGAAGCCGGUGGCCCUGCCCUGCAGCCCCAGGAAGCCCAGGAGGUGGCUUUGGGCGGCAGGUCUAAGGGGCGGCGGCUGCAGGACCACGGCCCCCAGUGCUUUGCUGUCAGACUCCAGCCUCGGGCUCCCAGCCCAGCAUCCCAGUGGGCGGAGAGGACGGAGGAUGCAGCCGGCCCGGGCUGACCAGGGGCCCUGCCCCGGACAAGUGACCCAGCAUCCCGGCCCCUGGGCUGCGGAGAAGGAGGACGCGGGGCGCCGGCGGGCGGGUGGGCAGGGACGCCACAUCGGGGGACCUCCACUGCCACCUGGUGGACAGCCCAGGAAGGCGCCGGGGCCGUGUGGCAGGCGCAGAGGGGCGGCCUGGGCGCAGAGAAGGUGGGCUACUUGGCACGUGCAGAGGGUCUGGGAGGGGGCAGGGUGGACAGGCCGCGGGACUGGGCUGCAGGAACAGAGCGGGUGGUGAUAGGGCCAGGCUUCCCCGGCUAGGGUGGAAGUCUUGUGCCUGCCCCUGAGUCUGGACCAUCAGCAGGCUCUGGGGCACCUGCUCUGGGGGACCAGAGCUCUCAGAGACACAGGAAGAGCAGCACCCCAGCCAGCCAGGGCGCAGUGAGGAAGAAAAGCGAGAGCCAUUGUCAGCCUUCGGGGACGCGGACAGGGCCGUGAGGCCACCCUCCCUCCACCCCGGGGUCACUAGGAGAAAACUGCUCCUUGUGUAUUUUCAAAGGACACAUGCCAUCUUUUUUUAAAGACUCGAGAUAAAAUUCACAUAACAAAAGUCAGCUUUUUCUCUUUUUAGGGCCACACCUGCAGCAUAUGGAGGUUCCCAGGCUAGGGACCUGCAGCCGCCAGCCUCCACCACAGCCGCAGCCACGCAGGACGUGAGCCGCAUCUGUGACCUACGCCACAGCUGCGGCAACUCCAGAUCCUUUAACCCACUGUCCUGGAUGGGGAUUGAACCUGUGUCUCGGGGCUGCAGAGACACCGCCAACCCCACUGCGCCACAGUGGGAACUCCACUCCUUGGGUUCUUAACCUUCUGAGCCACAACAGUAACUCC
rnacentral:lncRNA from 9 species